UUCCUGUUCUUUAUCUUCUGUCGAGCGCGGUUUUCUUGCAGCAGUGAAUCCAUCACUCGACUUAAACAUACUUUUUAAUGAAAUGAUUUUAGGCUUGUCUAGAGGCUAAAUAAGUCCUAGUUUAUCUCUGUCCUGUCCUUGCUUUCUAUCGUUGUUUCAGAGACAAAAGGCAGCGUGAGUGGCUUGUGUUUUUUUUUUUUUUUUAAUCUAAACUUAGGACUAUACAUUUUUCAGGACAUCCUGUGAAAUUGUAAGACAUUGUGCGAGGAAAGAUUUUGUGGUGGUGGGCGGUGGGGGGGAGCAAUUCUUUGUUAUUUGUAAGAUAGGAAUGUUCAUCUUGACUGCUUUAAAUCGAAUUUAAGGUGUGUAGGGAAGGGCCGCUGAGUGUGGGGCCGGAGGAAGUCCGUAAACGACUCACCACAUCUUCCCCUUCCUGAGCGGUGGGCUUAGUCCUGGCGCAGAGGAGCAGCUAUGAUCCUUUCAAUGUAUCAGGUUAGAACCGUGAGAGUCGUCUUCUUGUUUUGCAACCUGACAUGAAGGAAGCCCUUUGGCCGUGGACAGACACCCGUGGAACAGGGGCAAAAGGACUGAAGGACAGGUCAUCUUCCCCAGAAAGCUCGGCUCUCUGAAGUCACCCUGCUUGCCUGUCUUUCCUCCAAAGCCAGGCAUGUCGCUGUGGCUCUUUGGCCCUCUCUGCCUAAGGAACGGUCCCCUCUCUUACAAACAGGCAUUUCGUCCUCUCUCCUGGCUUUCAGAUUACGGGACAAAGUAAUUUUUGGUGGCAGUCUUUUGGAAAAGUGAUUUUUGAAAACUUGUAAUUGCCCACCAAAAUGUAUUUUAUUUUUUUAUUAUUUAUUUAUUAUUUAUUUUAUUAUUAUUUUAUUUUUUAUUAUUUUAUUUUUUUAAACAUUUCAUUUAUUUACACGAGAGAGCGAGCACAGAGGGAAGAGGGCGAAGGAGGCUGUCCGCUGAGCAGAGAACCUGAUGUGGGGACUUGAUCCCAGGACCCCAGGAUCCCACCCUGAGCCCAAGGCAGAUACUGUACCACUUGUUCCAGUGCACUUUGAACACGUGGUAACUGGUAGAGUAACUCCCCAUUUGUUUACUAAUUCAGGGACGGAUUAGGAGAUACAUUUGAAAAUACAUUUAAAUACAUUCAAAAGGUGACCUGUUUACAACAUACCAACCUCUGGUUUUACUUUGCACCAAAUCCAGACAUGAUUCUUGCUUUAUAUAAAUCUGGAGAUGAUAAACGUGACUAAAUCAGAUUAUUGACACCUUUUAGAUGAUUUUUAAAACCAGGAGCUGUCGUUUUGUAUUGCAUUAGGUUUAUAGGUCCAUGAAGCAGACGAGAGAGAAGUCCUCACGUGAAGAAAUUGCUCGUUGCCCUGAAGUGCGUUUUGUAUGGACAAAGGAGAGGCUCAGAUCAUUGGUUCAGGAGCCGUUUUUAGUGGCUGUCCCUAUACUGAAAGGACAUUUCAAGGGCAAGAAUGUAUACUUUUGUUAUUGAAUGCUUUCAGGCUGCAAGAUUAUGUAGAUUCAGUUCCUUGAGGGCCAGACUGGGGGUGAUGGGGAGGGAAGUAAGACCAUUUGCCCCACUACAUCGCCAUUCGUUCCCUUUGCCAGCCACUGCCCAGUGGGUCACACACACCCGGCAGUCUUUUUUGGGGGGGCAGGGAUAGAAAAUGACAUGGUGGGGUGAGCAAGUAAUCACACUGGGUCGGGUUCUUAAAAUAACUGAAAAAUGGUAGUCAGAAGAGCUGGUCAAGGGUGAAACCUGAGUGAUGUGUACUUCUAAUGACCACGUAACGGCCAGGGCGGAGAAUCAAAGGAAGGUGCUCGCCUAAUGUGCACAACCUUAAGAAAAGCUUCGUAUCCGGACAAAGUAGGACUGGGAUAGAGAUUAUGGGUUUUCUCUAAAUGCAGCAUACAAGCGAACUUGCAGAUAGCAUUGAGUCAUUUCUGUUUUUCAGGGAAAAAAACCACUUUCUGAUUUUCUAUGAAAUUUUGUGAGAGACCACUUUUCAGCCAUGACUCAUGACAUCCGUUUCAUCGCAGCAAGUUAGGAAUUUAUUCCCAAAUGUCUGACGACACCUCUCGGGAAAGCAAUAUACCCUUUCUUUGCAAGUCAGUAUUUAUACAUGGGGUGACUAACGGACCGGUACGUUGGACUUAGCAAUUAACAGACCAGAAAUAACCCGAAUUUUUUUCCCCCUCUGGCUUGCAGUUCAUCGUUUGCGCUGUUCGUUAUGCCACUUAGGGGGAGCACGUCAAAGAAUGCUCCUUUGCCCUCCUGGUCACGGUUUCCUUAAACCUUCCAAUUUUGAGCCACUCAGGCAUGAGGGGGAAAGUGGACAUUAGCAAGCAAUACGUGAGAAAAUCCAUAUAAAAACACAAGCGAGAGGUUAUUGAAUACAAAUUGAGUCUUCUCUAAUGAGACGUUUCUCUGAUGUGUACGUGAUGGCAUCAGAGCCAAAACUUCUUACUGAGAUACUGAGGUUUAUGUAGGCACCUCUUAGCAUGUUGGCUGUCGUUCAGGAAUUUUCUGAAAGAGGAAGCUUACUUAUUAAGUGAAGAAUGAUGUGUCCUUUGAAGCAGGCACGGCAAGAAAGUCAGUCUGCCAUCCUGGGAACAGUCUCUAAAAUGCGACCAGCCGGUCACAUUUCCAACCGCAUUUGAACCUGCUACCUCUCUGAAGGCCUGAGGGUCAGACGUCAGCCCCUUAGGGUGGCAGGAGCUGUGUGCCCUGGUUUUUAAAAACAAAUCUGCUAUAAAAUGCUUUGAAUGAAAGAGGUUUUAGGAGCUUUGUGGCAGUGAUCUAACCACCCCCCAAAUCUAUCCAUCCACGGUCAUAGCGUGUAACUUAGUGGACAAGAGGCAGGGCCCCCGGGAAUUUGCAAACUUCUUCUGUGCUAGACAACCCUCAUUCCUGCCUAAGGCCGUGGGGCGCACUUCGGCGCCUGAGAUGAGUGCAGGGCUGGCGGGGACCAGCAGGAAGGGAAGUAACUUUGUACCCAGUGACUUGUGUGAUGCCUGUGUGAUGACUGAUGAGGCGCCCUUUCCCAGGUAACAGCCGCAGGUCAGGGGAAGCAGAUCUGGAAGUUUUGGAAGGUUAGAAGGCGACCCGGGUAGGGAGAUAAGGGAAAAAAAAAAAAGUACCCCCAAGAGAUAAACGCUUUAAGUAUAUGUUAAUUUAGUAAGAUUAAAGGGAACCUCCAAGACAGGUGAAAUGCUAUCUUCAUUUUUGUCCAUUCUCUGAUUUCUAACAAAGGGGAAACAGGGAGGCACAAACUGUCUCCUCGUGAAGUCAGAAUUUCACUGUGGCUCGUUUUCGGGGAGCCCACGCACCAGAGCGCUGGCUGUCUUUUGGGAACCUCUGUGUGUCCCAGCUCUGUUCUCCCCGAGCUAUUAGUGGCUCCAAAGACAAGCAGUAACAGACUCUUCUGCCCUCAUACCCGUUCAUGCUUCCUGCACAGUUUUGACACGGGGACUAUCUCAUCAGCAGGAACGUACCCCUCCGGCUUCCUCCUAAGCACGCUGCCGUGAAGGCUUGAAACACUUUGGGACCCAAUAAUCCUGGUUUAGAAAAACACGGGGUAAACUAAUUCAGGUUACCCAGAGUUCGACUUCAUUGGAAUCAUUGCAAAAAAAGUACUAAAGUUCAUGAAUUUGACAUCAGCAUUGUUAACAUGCCUCAAGUGUUUCCAGCCUGUUUACUUAUUAGGCAAUAAAAGCUAACGUUCCUA